UCAGGAUGAACGCUAGCUACAGGCUAACACAUGCAAGGUCGAGGGGCAUCAUGGAGUUGCUUGCAAACUCUGAUGGCGACCGGCGCACGGGUGAGUAACGCGUAUCCAACCUCCCUAUAGUAGAGGAUAGCCCGGCGAAAGUCGGAUUAAUACUCUAUGUUUUCCGUUGCAGACAUCUAAGAUGGAACAAAGGCUUGCCGCUAUAGGAUGGGGAUGCGUCUGAUUAGGUAGUCGGCGGGGUAACGGCCCACCGAGCCAUCGAUCAGUAGGGGUUCUGAGAGGAAGGUCCCCCACAUUGGAACUGAGACACGGUCCAAACUCCUACGGGAGGCAGCAGUGAGGAAUAUUGGUCAAUGGACGAGAGUCUGAACCAGCCAAGUAGCGUGCAGGACGACGGCCUAUGGGUUGUAACUGCUUUUAUGCGGGGAUAAAGUUCACUACGUGUAGUGUUUUGUAGGUACCGCAUGAAUAAGGACCGGCUAAUUCCGUGCCAGCAGCGGC
rnacentral:rRNA from 1 species